UUCGGACUAAAGCCCUUCGGGGCGCUUUGGGAAUAGCCUGCGUAAGAUUAGCUAGUUGGUGAGGUAAUGGCUCACCAAGGCGACGAUCUUUAGCUGGUCUGAGAGGAUGACCAGCCAGACUGGAACUGAGACACGGUCCAGACUCCUACGGGAGGCAGCAGGUAGGGAAUUUUCCACAAUGGGCGAAAGCCUGAUGGAGCAACGCCGCGUGCAGGAUGAAGGCCCUCGGGUCGUAAACUGCUUUUAUGUGCGAAGAAUAUGACGGUAACACAUGAAUAAGGGUCGGCUAACUACGUG
rnacentral:rRNA from 1 species